rnacentral:tmRNA from 1 species
UGCCUCAAGCUGACUUGUAAAGCGGAACAACGGCUUCUAUAUAUCGGGUGUUCCCUCGGGAACUAUGGGCAUAAACGCGCGUAGAAUAAGCGGAUCGGACCCGGGGGCGGUACCCGGCGGCUCCACCAAACAUCCUUCGUUUGAGGAUCAUGGGGCCGAAAUAGGAUCGACGAACGUGUAAAAACGUAGCUUUGCUUCGGUGAGAUACCACCGUUAUCGGUUCAAAAAGUACAAUUGCAAACGACAAUCGUGCUCCGGUUGCUCUGGCUGCGUAAGCAGUUCGAGGAAUCGAAAUCUAAGUCCUUGCGCUUAGCAGCGUAAGGCG